CAGGCAGGCGCGAUGCUCGGCACGGGUGCAGGCAGCCUUGCGGGGUGUAACAGGACCUGGUUUUGGCAGGAUGGAGGUGACAGACACGGAUGCUAUGCCCAGAGAUGUGCUGGUGGCCAGAACGUUAUUGUUAAUCACGAUUUGGUAUUUAGGCAGCAGGAAGGUGCCUCUAAGAUAGAGAGCGAGCUGUGAUGGAGCUGGUGGUGUUAAUGUUCUGCAGCAGGAGUGAAAUAGCCUGGAGAUGUGCAGCAAGAGCAGGGGCGUGUGCCCUAAAUAGGAGGGUUAAACAGGGCUUAUUCUGAGGAAAGCAGUAAUUGCAGCUUGCGUGAAGCAGUAAUAUUCUUUUGUGCAUUAUUUACCCAGGAACAUCUGCUAAUACAUAUACAUUCUCCGGUGCGUGUAAACAACUUGUGCAGGAAGAGGAUUAGGAGAUUUAUAAAAAAAUUAGAAGGAAGUUAAAAGGGCAAUUAGAAGAGCAGAAAGAGAUAUUGAGCAGUGAAUUAGGGAGGAUAUUUUAACACACAAUCAGAGCUUCCCGAGACGUAUUCAGAGCAGAGAGAAGGUAAAAGAGAAAAUUGGCCAAUUACGACAUGAUAGCAGGGAAUUGGUGACAUGGGAGAAGGUAAUGGCUGAUUUGUUAAACAGUUAUUUUGAUUCUGUUUUCACAAAGGAGGAAGAGGAUGGAGGGCAGCUCUGGAAAGGACUCGGGUUGUGGGGAUUGAGGGUGGGGAUGAGCCGAGGAGCCUGCAGAGAGAUAAAGAUGCGUCUGCAGAGUGGCUGGGCGUGGGGAGAAGUUCACCCAUAUUCAUGGGGUGGGGAAAAAAAUGGAUUUUAGUGAGCGGUUCCUUACAGCAAUGAGCCGGGUAGCAAGGGACUUGCGUUAUAACACUUGCUUUUGUUCGCCUAAUUGGCUGCCGUUGAGCGGGGACCGGGGACUGAGGUGGUCACUGAGAUGAAAGAUCCUUCUCCCCUUUGAAGGCCAUUUCUCCGGGAGAGGGGAGGAUCAAGUGUAUUGGGAGAGAGCGAGAUGGAUGGAGACUCUGGAGGGGUGCUGCUCCUGGGGCUGCUUUUAUGUGGGUAGAGAGGUGGUUUGGCUCGCCAGCGAUGCCAGCGUGACACCUUCCCAAAAAUACACAUUGCAAAACGUGAGCACCGCUGCAGUCCUCCGUGGCCUGUUUUCGUAGUUGCUUUUGCUUCCAUCUGUAACCCACGAACUCCGACACGGUCAGCCAUACAAGAGCAUCCCUGCAAUCACCGUUCCCAUCGGCAUCGUCUGGUGUCGGCGAUCUCGUGUUUCACCAAAGCAGUCGUGAGCCCGGGGGCUGCUGGAUGCGUCAAGGGAGAGAAGAGGGCUGGUGCAACAGAGGAAUGAUGUCAACCUACAAGACCUCAAGGAGACAGUAAGCGAUGGAAAGGGAAAUAUUCUUGGUCAUGCAAUGGGAAAUGGGAUCUUGGGAAAUCGGAUCUCGGGAAGUGUUCCCGGGGGUGUGGCUGAAGCUAGAACAGGGAAAGCAUACACAAACGGAGGAUUUAGGGAAGGUUGAACUUGAAGGACCACAAAAAGUGUUAUUUAGCUUACAAGAAAUGUGAAGCGAUGCUUUUGUUCUGCUCUGUCUCUCCGAAGCAGGGUACGUGUUGCAGAGCAACUUUGAGACAAAGGAAAUAAUUUGGAUUUGGUGCUGGUGGGGGAGGGCACAAGUGUUGUCUGGGAAGCAAUGGGGAAUAUAAGAGAAACUGCAGACUUGUGGUCUUGGUUUAGACUGAUAAACUAAAAAUUUAUUCUCAAUA